rnacentral:rRNA from 2 species
GGGNGCUAAUACAUGCAAGUCGAACGAGCUCUCCCAAAUUGAUUUUAUGCUUGCAUAAAUGAUUUUUGGAUUCGGAGCGAGUGGCGAACUGGUGAGUAACACGUGGGUAACCUGCCCCAAAGCGGGGGAUAACAUUUGGAAACAAGUGCUAAUACCGCAUAAUUAGUUGGAACCGCAUGGUUCCAACUUGAAAGAUGGCUCUGCUAUCACUUUGGGAUGGACCCGCGCCGUAUUAGUUAGUUGGUGAGAUAAAAGCCCACCAAGACGAUGAUACGUAGCCGACCUGAGAGGGUAAUCGGCCACAUUGGGACUGAGACACGGCCCAGACUCCUACGGGAGGCAGCAGUAGGGAAUCUUCCACAAUGGACGAAAGUCUGAUGGAGCAACGCCGCGUGAGUGAUGAAGGUUUUCGGAUCGUAAAACUCUGUUGUUAAAGAAGAACAAGUGUUAGAGUAACUGUUAACACUUUGACGGUAUUUAACCAGAAAGCCACGGCUAACUACGUGCCAGCAGCCGCGGUAAUACGUAGGUGGCAAGCGUUGUCCGGAUUUAUUGGGCGUAAAGCGAGCGCAGGCGGUUUUGUAAGUCUGCUGUGAAAGCCCUCAGCUUAACUGAGGAAGUGCAGUGGAAACUACAAAACUUGAGUACAGAAGAGGAAAGUGGAACUCCAUGUGUAGCGGUGAAAUGCGUAGAUAUAUGGAAGAACACCAGUGGCGAAGGCGGCUUUCUGGUCUGUUACUGACGCUGAGGCUCGAAAGCAUGGGUAGCGAACAGGAUUAGAUACCCUGGUAGUCCAUGCCGUAAACGAUGAAUACUAGGUGUUGGAGGGUUUCCGCCCUUCAGUGCCGCAGCUAACGCAUUAAGUAUUCCGCCUGGGGAGUACGACCGCAAGGUUGAAACUCAAAGGAAUUGACGGGGGGCCCGCACAAGUGGGGGAGCAUGUGGUUUAAUUCGAUGCUACGCGAAAAACCUUACCAGCUCUUGACAUCUUCUGCCAACCCAAGAGAUUUGGGGGUUUCCCUUCGGGGACAGAAUGACAGGUGGUGCAUGGUUGUCNUCAGCUCGNNGUCGNGAGAUGUUUGGGUUAANNUCCCNCAACCNGANNNGNCAACACCCCUUANUNUANNUNUA